UCUCUCUGAAUCUGCGUACGGCUCCGCAAACCAGCUGCAAACUAGGGCAGGCACGCCUGGUCAUGGACCCUCACGGGUUCGGGCCAGGCUACAUGGAUAACCCUGGUAAUUCUGAGGCUAAUACAUGACAGUACGCGCGCUCGGCCGGCAUCAGCUUCCCUCGUGGAAACCGCAGGCCGGGUGGACGUGUGACUUACGGCCUGGGAAUCCGUGAUAGAACGCACGUCUGGACCAUCGUCAAUGCCUCUAAGGUUACCCUCUUUCGGGGGGGGAUCUAAGCGGGUAGGUGGCUCCUGCACAGUGCUUCUGACCUAUCAACUAGACAGCAGCGUAACGUACAUGCCGUGGUUUCUACGGGUACAGAGGAUUAGAGUUCGAUCCUGGAGAGUGGGCCUGAGAGAUCUCC
rnacentral:rRNA from 1 species